CAGUAGCCACGGUAAUACGGAGGGUGCAAGCGUUACUCGGAAUCACUGGGCGUAAAGGACGCGUAGGCGGAUUAUCAAGUCUCUUGUGAAAUCUAACGGCUUAACCGUUAAACUGCUUGGGAAACUGAUAAUCUAGAGUAAGGGAGAGGCAGAUGGAAUUCUUGGUGUAGGGGUAAAAUCCGUAGAGAUCAAGAAGAAUACCCAUUGCGAAAGCGAUCAGCUGGAACUUAACUGACGCUAAUGCGUGAAAGCGUGGGGAGCAAACAGGAUUAGAUACCCCCGUAGUCCCUGUCUCUUAUAC
rnacentral:rRNA from 1 species